rnacentral:SRP_RNA from 1 species
GCCAGGCACCGUGAUGCAUGCCUGCAGUCCCAGCUACUCCGGAGGCUGAGGCUGGUGGAUCACUUGAGCCCAGGAGUUCUGGGCUGUAGUGCACUAUGCCAACUGGGUGCCCACACUAAGUUCAGCAUCAAUACGGUGACCUCCUGGGAGUGGGGACCACCAGGUUGCCUAAGGAGGGGUGAACCGGCCCAGGUCAGAAACGGAGCAGGUCAAAACUCCCAUGCUGAUCAGUAGUGGGAUCUCACCUGUGAAUAGUCACUGCACUCCAGCCUGGGCAACAUAGCGAGACUCCAACUCU